GGUCAUGGUUCAGUGGUAGAGCGCAUGCCUAGCAUGUGUGAGGCCCUGGAUUCAAUCCUCAGCACCA
rnacentral:tRNA from 1 species